AGAGUUUGAUCCUGGCUCAGGAUGAACGCUAGCGGCAGGCCUAAUACAUGCAAGUCGUACGGGAUUGAAGACUUCGGUUUUCAUGAGAGUGGCGCACGGGUGCGUAACACGUAUGCAACCUACCUUUAACUGGGGGAUAGCCUUUCGAAAGAGAGAUUAAUACCGCAUAAAACAGCAGCACUGCAUGGUGUCACUGUUAAAGCUUCGGUGGUUAAAGAUGGGCAUGCGUUGCAUUAGCUAGUUGGUAAGGUAACGGCUUACCAAGGCUACGAUGCAUAGGGGAUCUGAGAGGAUGAUCCCCCACACUGGUACUGAGACACGGACCAGACUCCUACGGGAGGCAGCAGUAAGGAAUAUUGGUCAAUGGGCGCAAGCCUGAACCAGCCAUGCCGCGUGCAGGAAGACGGCCCUAUGGGUUGUAAACUGCUUUUAUCGGGGAAUAAACCUCAUUACGUGUAAUGAGUUGAAGGUACCCGAAGAAUAAGGAUCGGCUAACUCCGUGCCAGCAGCCGCGGUAAUACGGAGGAUCCAAGCGUUAUCCGGAUUUAUUGGGUUUAAAGGGUGCGUAGGCGGUUUAUUAAGUCAGUGGUGAAAGCCCGGAGCUCAACUUCGGAACUGCCAUUGAUACUGAUAGACUUGAGUACAGAUGAAGUGGGCGGAAUGUGACAAGUAGCGGUGAAAUGCUUAGAUAUGUCACAGAACACCGAUUGCGAAGGCAGCUCACUAAAGUGUAACUGACGCUGAGGCACGAAAGCGUGGGGAUCAAACAGGAUUAGAUACCCUGGUAGUCCACGCCCUAAACGAUGAUUACUCGCUGUUAGCGAUAUACAGUUAGCGGCUAAGCGAAAGCGUUAAGUAAUCCACCUGGGGAGUACGGUCGCAAGAUUGAAACUCAAAGGAAUUGACGGGGGCCCGCACAAGCGGAGGAGCAUGUGGUUUAAUUCGAUGAUACGCGAGGAACCUUACCCGGGCUUGAAAGUUAGUGAAGAACGUAGAAAUAUGUUCGUCCUUCGGGACACGAAACUAGGUGCUGCUUGGCUGUCGUCAGCUCGUGCCGUGAGGUGUUGGGUUAAGUCCCGCAACGAGCGCAACCCCUAUGUUUAGUUGCCAGCAUGUAAUGAUGGGGACUCUAAACAGACUGCCUGUGCAAACAGAGAGGAAGGAGGGGACGACGUCAAGUCAUCAUGGCCCUUACGUCCGGGGCUACACACGUGCUACAAUGGAUGGUACAGAGGGCUGCAAGCUGGUAACAGCAAGCCAAUCUCAAAAAGCCAUUCACAGUUCGGAUUGAGGUCUGCAACUCGACCUCAUGAAGUUGGAUUCGCUAGUAAUCGCGUAUCAGCAAUGACGCGGUGAAUACGUUCCCGGGCCUUGUACACACCGCCCGUCAAGCCAUGGAAGCUGGGGGUGCCUAAAGUCCGUCACCGAAAGGAGCGGCCUAGGGCAAAACUGGUAACUAGGGCUAAGUCGUAACAAGGUA
rnacentral:rRNA from 1 species